UACGUAGGGGGCUAGCGUUGUCCGGAAUCAUUGGGCGUAAAGAGCGUGUAGGCGGUCCGGUAAGUCCGCUGUGAAAUCUCGAGGCUCAACUUCGAGCUGUCGGUGGAAACUAUCUGGCUAGAGUCCGGAAGAGGAGAAUGGAAUUCCUGGUGUAGCGGUGAAAUGCGCAGAUAUCAGGAAGAACACCUAUGGCGAAGGCAGCUCUCUGGGACGGUACUGACGCUGAGACGCGAAAGCGUGGGGAGCGAACAGG
rnacentral:rRNA from 1 species